rnacentral:rRNA from 1 species
AAGACCUUGCGCUUUUGGAGCGGCCGAUGUCUGAUUAGCUAGUUGGUGGGGUAAUGGCCUACCAAAGCUUCGAUCAGUAGCUGGUCUGAGAGGACGGCCAGCCACACUGGGACUGAGACACGGCCCAGACUCCUACGGGAGGCAGCAGUGGGGAAUUUUGGACAAUGGGCGCAAGCCUGAUCCGGCCAUGCCGCGUGAGUGAAGAAGGCCUUCGGGUUGUAAAGCUCUUUCAGCCGGGAAGAAAAGGUUGCGAUUAAUAAUCGCAAUUGAUGACGGUACCGGAAGAAGAAGCACCGGCUAACUACGUGCCAGCAGCCGCGGUAAUACGUAGGGUGCGAGCGUUAAUCGGAAUUACUGGGCGUAAAGGGUGCGCAGGCGGUUUUGUAAGUCAGAUGUGAAAUCCCCGGGCUUAACCUGGGAACU